rnacentral:rRNA from 1 species
UACGUAGGGGGCUAGCGUUGUCCGGAAUCAUUGGGCGUAAAGAGCGUGUAGGCGGCCCGGUAAGUCCGCUGUGAAAGUCGGGGGGCUCAACCCUCGAAUGCCGGUGGAUACUGUCGGGCUAGAGUGCGGAAGAGGCGAGUGGAAUUCCUGGUGUAGCGGUGAAAUGCGCAGAUAUCAGGAGGAACACCAAUUGCGAAGGCAGCUCGCUGGGACGUGACUGACGCUGAGACGCGAAAGCGUGGGGAGCAAACAGG